ensembl:snRNA U2 U2 spliceosomal RNA
AUGAUUUCUGGCCAUUUGGCCAAGAUCAGGUGUAUUAACUGUUCUUAACAGCUUAACAGCUGCUAUGUUCUCAAUGCACACUGCCCAGAAUUAUUCUGGUGGACCCUAAAUUUGACCAGCUAUCUCACUCACAGGUGGUGUAUAAUGAGAACAUAUCAGAUAUGAAACUGAUACUUUAU